ensembl:lncRNA
GGCAAAGAUGAGCCAGUAUGUUUUUUGAUUGACACACCAAAAGUAGUUUCAAUUGCUCUAUUUGCUGCCAGUUCAGUUAUUGCCUAUGGUUAGCACCAAAUGGCUUGAGAUGUGUAAACAUUAGAGAGGAAUAGUAGGCUACAUGGAACCAUUAAUUCAAUUGCCAUAGUUUAAUUUCAAGUUUUUCAGUUGCACAAAUUGUUCUCCUUUUUGAAUUAACAGAAAUGAGUCCCCCUGAGGCAGCAAAGAAGAGGAUCCUCCCAGCAUGGAUGAGCAAGAAGGCAGCUGAACCAGGAGAAUGGGCAAAAAUGAGGUCAAAGAGAAGAAAAAAGACAGCUAUAGCAAGGACUGAGACCGUGUAUUGUAUGAAUGAAGCAGAAUUGGUCGACGUGGCUCUUUGUAUUUUAGCUGAGAAUUGCAAGGCUAUAGAAGGUGAUGUGAUUUCUCAAGAGCAUCAACAGGAAUUGAGAAAGGGUCACCACCCAAGGACUGCUGUCAACAUUGCCAAGGAUCCUCCUGUACCAUCCACACCUCCAGCUGCUUUAAGUAGCAGUGAGGAAACCAAACUGGAGGAAGAUGAUGAUGAUGCCUUAAAAUAUGUCAGGGAGAUUUUCUUUACAUAAUUUUAACAUUUAUAAGCAACAUAGCUUUUUAAAAUUAGAAUUCUUUUUAUUGCCCAAGUGUGAUUGGACACACAAGGAAUUUGUCAUGGUGCAAAUGCUCUCAGUGUACAUAAAAGAAAAGAUACAUUCAUCAAUCCUGACAGUCCCUUUUGCUGUUGUUAAGUGAAGUCCUCACAACAUACUGUCAGUUUUCAAGAAAAGUCACUGGAAAGUCUCAGGUAACUUGCAAACAGGCCAACAGGCUGCUGUGAUGUGAGUAUGGCAGGAUCGAGGUGACUUGUGCCGGAUGGCGCAAGGUGCACAGGGGGCCUGGGUGCCAAGGAGAGGAUGUUGUGAGCACAUGCUACAAAGUAUGAGAUUUCUGGCAGAAAAAGGCUUCAGGAAUGCAAAUGACUUGUAGGAGUGUUUUACAGCUUUCCCUGCUUUUACCACUUUCCCUGCUGGCUUCCUCAUUGGCUGCUUGUAGGAAGCUGGCAGGGGUUGCAAAUGGUGAUCAUGUGACCCUGGGAUGCUUAAAACCAUUGUAACUGCAAGCUGGCUGCCAAGCACCGGAAAUGUGAUCAUGAUUAUGGAGGCAUUGUGACAGCCAGAACUCUGAAGACCAGUUUUAAGUGCCCCUCUUCUAGCACCAUCGCAACUUUGAAUAGUAGCUGAAUGAGUGAUCAGUAAAUGAGAAUUACUUAUAUUUUAAUUUAUGAUUAAACUCUUAUGAUGCAGGAGUAUAAUACAGUAAUAGGGAAAAAAUCUGCUAAAGUACUCAAGUACCCCGGAGACAUGCAUUUUUGGAUCAGGUUCUGUUAUUUGUCUUCAUUAAAUAGGUGUCUUUUCUCCACUAAUGUUCAGACUAUUUGACAAUUAGCUGGGUUAUGACUAAGAACCAAGAAAUUAUCUCAGUGCAUUGAUUACUCAUAUGGUAGCUUUAAACCACAGAUCUGGGACAUAUGUGUUAAUGUCUGUCAGACGGGGAAGGAUAUAAAAAUGCUAUAUAGAAAAAAAUUUCCUUGACAUGCCACGGUGGCACAGUGGUUAGAAUGCAGUACUGCAGGCUACUUCUGCUGAGUGCUGGCUGCCUGCAAUUUGGCAUUUCGAAUCUCACCAGGCUCAAGGUUGACCCAGCAUUCCUUUCUUCCGAGGUUGGUAAAAUGAGGACCCAGAUUGUUGGGAGGAAUAUGCUGACUCUGUAAACCACUUAGAGAGGGCUGUGAAGUGGUAUAUAAGUCUAAAUGGAGCCCAUUAAAUGACUUGUGUGAUCUGUUGUUACCAGGCCGGGGGGGUGGGAGUUGGGGAAUGAUUUUGUUAUAUUGUACUGUAUUAAUUUAUUUGAUUUUUGUUAGUUUUUAUUGUUUUUAAACAUGGUUUUAUAUUCUGUAAAUUGAGUCGCCAUGGAUGAAUAGGCGGCAAUAUAAAGUGAAUAAAUAAAUGCUAU